GUAAAUAAUAAGACCUAAUUUUUCUUUUUAAAUAUUAGUUGCCAUGGAAAUUAUGUUUGACAGUUACGGUAGAUUUUACUGACAUUGUAAAUUCAUACAUAUAGUAUCGAUAAGAUUAUUUAAGUACAGUUGUUAUUUUAUCGUAGAUCAUGAAUGACAGUUUAAGUAUGAGAAAAAAGAUUGAAUUAUUACGUCUUUUAGGAGACACUGACAGAAGCAUCAGACGAUUCGUCUUUUGGAUAUUGCAAGACAUUCAGAUGGUCCUAGGAUUAACUGUGUUCGAUGAGUAUUCAGUUCAUUAUGCCAAAGUUGUGAGGAACGGACAUUCCAUUCAAACUGAUCGAAGAGUCACCGUGACUUUUAAACCUAACAAUUUUAGACUUCAUUCCCUGGGGUCUAUUAAAAAAAAGUUAGUGAAAAUCGACCAAAGUACAGAAACGGAUGAUGUGCAGUAAUUCGGCAGGUACUCACCGAAAUUACCCCGAAAGAACCGAGGAAUAUAAUGAAAAACAGCAAAACAAAUAUCAAACUAGAUUGUGGAGUUGUAGAGCAUAGUCUAGGUUUAGAUAAUUUUUGUUACAGUUUUCUUUUUUUCAGUCAAUUUCAUCUAUUUGAAGUUAUAUAUUUAAUGUAGUUCUUUUGUUAAAUACCGAUAUUACUAAAUAUCUUUUCUAUACUGGUAGUUUAUUCUGAGAAAUAUUUAAAAAAAUUAUAUCUCUGGUGCCAUGUAUUGAUAUAGGAUGGUCUUUUGUAACAAUUAGCUUAAGAAGUUGUUUAUUAUUGUUAUUAAUAAAUAUUAUUUAUGAGAA